rnacentral:rRNA from 1 species
UACGAAGGGGGCUAGCGUUGUUCGGAAUCACUGGGCGUAAAGGGCGCGUAGGCGGCUUUGUAAGUCGGGGGUGAAAGCCUGUGGCUCAACCACAGAAUUGCCUUCGAUACUGCAUGGCUUGAGACCGGAAGAGGUUAGUGGAACUGCGAGUGUAGAGGUGGAAUUCGUAGAUAUUAGGAAGAACACCAGUGGCGAAGGCGGCUCACUGGUCCGGUACUGACGCUGAGGUGGCGAAAGCUAGGGGAGCAAACGGG